rnacentral:rRNA from 1 species
UUCAAGAGUACGUGAAACCGCUCAGGGGUAAACCUGCGAAAUUCGAAUGAACGAACGGGGAGAUUCAUCGUUAUUCCGCGGCGUGGCUGCGAGCGCUCGAUGUUGUCGGUUUCGGCCGUUCGGCACGGUGCUUGUGGUUACAACGUUCGUGGACGGCGUGCACUUCUCCCUUAGUAAUACAUCGCGACCCGUUCGAUGUCGGUCUAAGCGCCGUACGGGAGUCUAGACUGUCUCCCCUCACGGGGUUCAGUUUAGACCGUUACGGUUGCCGACCGGCCGUCGGACGGUAUUUUUAACGGAACGCGUACGCGUUUAUGCGCGUCCGGCCCGACGCAAGGUUAGCGUAUUCAUCACCGUCCUGCCCAAGUGCGAGCGGAGGUGCUGCGCGCCUGUUGUCGCAGCCGUGCUGUCUCGGACUGUGCGCGUACCGUGUCUGCGAUGAUUCAGUUUCGGGCACUCGCAGGACCCGUCUUGA